rnacentral:snoRNA from 2 species
UGCCUCUCAGGGUCACACCUGGAGAGUCUCCAGUACUCUACCAGUCUCGACUACGGGAGGGAGAGUCAAGUAGAGGACUACCCAUUCCAUUCCUAGCUUGGGCAGUGGCUAGCGAAUGGAAGGCAAUCUGCUACAAGU